AUUGAACGCUGGCGGCAGGCCUAACACAUGCAAGUCGAGCGAGCGGCGGCCGGGUGAGUAAUGUCUGGGAAACUGCCUGAUGGAGGGGGAUAACUACUGGAAACGGUAGCUAAUACCGCAUACCAUCAGAUGUGCCCAGAUGGGAUUAGCUAGUAGGUGGGGUAAUGGCUCACCUAGGCGACGAUCCCUAGCUGGUCUGAGAGGAUGACCAGCCACACGGGAACUGAGACACGGUCCAGACUCCUACGGUAGGCAGCAGUGGGGAAUAGUGCACAAUGGGCGCAAGCCUGAUGCAGCCAUGCCGCGUGUGUGAAGAAGGCCGUCGGGUUGUAAAGCGCUUUCAGCGGAGAGGCGUUACCCGCAGAAGAAGCACCGGCUAUCUACGUGCCAGCAGCCGCGGUAAUUC
rnacentral:rRNA from 1 species